UACGAAGGGGGCUAGCGUUGUUCGGAAUCACUGGGCGUAAAGGGUGCGCAGGCGGGUUCAUAAGUCCGGGGUGAAAUACCGAGGCUCAACCUCGGAAAUGCCUUUGAUACUGUUGAUCUUGAGUACGGAAGAGGUGAGUGGAACUGCGAGUGUAGAGGUGAAAUUCGUAGAUAUUCGCAAGAACACCGGUGGCGAAGGCGGCUCACUGGUCCGGAACUGACGCUGAGGCACGACAGCGUGGGGAGCAAACAGG
rnacentral:rRNA from 1 species